UUUAGGGCUGGAUUUGGUGUAUACUCUAAAAAACGUUGGGUUAUUUACUGUACCCAAUAUCUGGGUUAAACAUGUUGGGUCGCUUUGUUGGGUUAUUACUAUGUUUAUUGGGUUAUUUCAACAACAACGCAACCAGUUGGGUUAAAAUUUAAAUUCCAACGGUCGAUUGGUGCAGCUGCGACAGAUGAUACAGUGGUAAAUUAAUAUGUGUGCGUUAUGUGUUUCGUUACAAAGUGUCUUCAUGCCCUGACACAAUAAUAUUUCUGUUUUUCCUACGAGUUUGUUUACAUCUCCUCUGUUGACUGAAACUUUAAUUCGUUUUUUCUGCACUCUUGACUAACGACACGAGCGUUUGUAGCAGAUCGAUUUCAAACGUAUAAAAAACGUUUUCCUUACUUUUUCUGUUCGUCUCGACAAUUUUGGGGAUUUUUUUUUUUUUUACAUAACUUACAUUUCCGAUAUUAGGCAGAAGCGCUCACCUUGAAGACCAGCGGAGCCUCUUUCGUGGUGUCGUGUCCACUCUGAGUGAAGGUAUGUCGCCAUUUUAUUCAAAUGUAAUGUCCUUUCUCCAGGAAACUACAGUGUAAAGUUAAAACACUACGAAACACGCAGAAAUUAAGCAUUUUAUUCUCUCUAAGUUGCUGGUUACCAGAGCAAUCAUGUAGUGAUUAUUUUCACCAACAGAGGGCGCUGCGAGCUACACUGAUUACACGCGCCGCUUCUUCAGCCACGAAGAACUGAACAUGGAAGAGAGUGGGGCAUUGUUAUCAUCAAUUAUCAAAAGAUACCGUUAUCGGUUUCAAGAUUACUCUGGACUAAGGUAUAUUAUACCCACAUGUCAGGGAUAUAUAGACUUUGAGCUCUAAAGGGCAUGGAGAGAUGAAGAGAGCCUUGGUUGGAUCUUCUGGAUGUUUCUUCUGUUGGUCUUGGAGAUUGCAUUAAAGUUGCAGUAAAACCCUGCCAGAUAUCCUCCUUCAUUGCCAUACAAAGUGGGUCGGAACAAAUUUCAUUCUGUAUUUGGAGGAGGAGGAGCAACCAAGGCAAUUCCCUCAUAAUCAAGCCUUCAUUAUUGUGGGAGAAAUGGCACUGAAGCAAGGCCGUCUUUUUUACAAGCAGUUGAUACAUGCUUUAAAUUAUUUUACAUUUUGAACAUUGAGUAUCCCAAACCUGUUGCAACUGUAAUUGCAUUGUCUGUACUAGCUUUGUUCUGUUUGUUUGUUUGUUUGUUUGUGAAUUUAUAUUUAUCUUGUAAACUGAAACAAUUGCAUAUAACCUAAUGUGAUAAGGAAAUAAUAACACAAUUUCAA